rnacentral:lncRNA from 1 species
AAAAUACAAAAAAAAAUAUUCUAAAUUUAGUAAUAAUAUAAUAAUAGUAAUAAAAAAAAUAUUUAGACGAUCGUUGGUUAAUAAGAUACGCUCAUUUAUGAUAGUUCAUGCCACUUGGAAAAGAUAAACAAUAGGAUAUAUAUAUACUUGUAAUAUAAUGAUGAUAACGAAAUUGAAAUUUGGAAUAAAUGGUGAUUAAGAGUGGGGAAUGAGAUACUUUUCUCAAAUUUCUCCUAAAUGGGGGAUUCACGAUUUGAUUAGAAACCAACUGUCAAAUCUAAAAAGAAUUGAGCAUUUAUAAUUCGAACUCUUCUUGUGGAAAUUAUCAUUGUAUCGUCAUUAGUUACAUGUCAUGUCAAUUCUCAAGAAAAAUGGAUUAAUAAGUAUUACAUCAACUAAUAUGAACCAAUUAUUUAUCUGAGUGUUUGUGCAAAAUAAUAUUAUAUCUUCGGAAAUCUUUCAAUUCUCUACGUAUGUCUUUUAACAUAAUAGGUUGUUUUUCUUUUCAGAUUUAUCGAGUGAUGGAUAUACUUGACAUAUUUAUUUGAAUAAAUAUUGUAUUUAGGAUAUAUUUGCGAUAUAUUAUUGCCUACAUUUAUAAACGGUAAAUUAAAUCACCACCAUAACAAAACGGAAUUUUAGGAUAUUCUUUUAUAUGCUCGUGCUAUGUGGUUGGCAUAGUUCUAUAAAUUUAUUUUAAUAUGAAGAUGGUUGAUUUAUUUAAAAAUUAUUAGUAGAUAAAUAGUCAAGUCAUAAUAUAUAGGUAUCGACAUAUUAUAGAUAUAUAAUAUAGAUAGACAUAUAAUAAGCUAGUGACAGAGGCAGAAAUAAUGGUAGGGGCAACUAAACAAAAUUUUAAAGAGUUAAUAAGUAAAAAAUUAUAUAUAAUUUUUUUUUACUGUAAUUGUAUCAUUUAAUUAUAUUUAAAUAUCAGAAAUAGCAUGUUUAAACACAACAAUCACCACAUAAUAUUUAUCUUCUAUUUAUUAUAUUGUUAAAGCCGUGUACAAUAGUUUUAUCAGCAAGUAUACAAGAAUAUAAAUAUUUUACAAUCAAGACGUGUUAAAACUUUCGUAAGAAAAAAAAAAUUGUUCCUAGCUAAAUUCAUUUUCCUUAUACACCUUCAUAUUCAUAUUUCAUAUAAUUAAUUAAAUAUUCUCUAAUAAUAUAAUAGAAUAUUAAGGAAUUGAAGAUAUAUCUUACAAAAAUUAAUUAAUUUAAUUUAUUGACAAAAUAAUCAAACAAACAUUCAAUAAUAGCUACAAAAAAAAAAAAUCAAAACUACUAAAUAUAUACAAAUUUUAAUUUAAAGAAUAAGAAACUUUGAAUCAUGAUUUUUAUCUACCCACCAUAAAUCCACAAUGAACCUCAAAUCAAAAUUCAAUCUUAAACAUAUCAACUAAAUCAAAAUAUUGCAAUAUAAUUUUAUUUUAAUUAUUAAUUAAUAGUACAUGCUACUAAUGAAAAAAAAAAAGUGCAGGAGCUUAUGGCCCCUGAGCCCUAUGUAGCUCUGCCCCUAUAUAAUUACUAUUGUGUCAUAAAUUUAUUGUUAUGCAUUUUCUAAUAUAGGGGUUUUAGCAUUAUCUUUCUUAUUAUAUAAGGAAUAUAUAGGCCUCUAAUUCUAAUUAUUCUUUUUUCUGAAAGAAGCUACGCCAUAAAAAUUGUGCAUUUAUUCCUCAAGCAAAAGGGGCAAAUCAUACGUAAGGUUAUUCUUAUAACGGCACUUGCUCGUGGAUCAAUAUUUAUAUACGUUUUAUAAAUUACAAUAAAUUUUUUUUUUGAUACGGGAAAAUAUUAUUAAAAGGGAUGGUACAAGAAGUACCGAGCACGGGCCAGCCCGCAAGAAACAAAAAUAACGAGGAUUACAACAGCCGAGGACAUCACAAAAAAGCCACUAAACCAAGACUAACAGUGAAGAUUAACAGCUGCAUUCCAUCUGCGGAAAUCGGAGUUAGGCAGAUUCAGGUUGAAAGCCAAGCUCCAACCCCAUAUCCUAGUCUUGAUUUCAGCAACCAUUCUCUCCUUAGUCCAAGAACCUUGAUUGAAGAUGCAUUCGUUUCUCUUCUUCCAGAUACACCAAACAGCGCAACACCAAACAGCGGAAAGGAACUUGGCGUCUUCCUUUUUCCCGAGGUUAACAAAGGCGUUGAAGUGAGGCUUCGCCUUAAGAUGGAAAACGGCUUGCUUACCCAUCCAAAGGAUCAACUCCUUCCAGACUUCUUCAGUUUUUGAGCAGGAGAAAAAGAGAUGGUCAACGGACUCUUCCUUCUCCUUACAGAUCACGCAGAGGUUCGGUACCUGAAUUGCCACCUGCCGGCGAAUAAGAUUGUCGAUGGUUGGUAUUCGACCUUUGAGCACCUUCCAUGCCGUGAGGAUGACUUUUGCGGGGGCUUUGGUUUUCCAAAUCUGCAUCAAUUCACCUUCUUUUCUUUGGAUGUUCAUCUGUCUUCGCUCCCAACUUAAAGUCCCAUAAGCCGAUUUGACGGAAAAGACUCCGUUUGGAGACGCUUUCCAGCUCCAGCCAUCACUCUUGUCUUCCCUCAAUUCUCGACAAUUAAUGAUGGAUAAGAGAGACUGAAGUUGCUCCUGUUCACGGCCUCUUGGCUCUCGACUCCACCCGAGGUUCCACUUCCAUGUUCCUUCAACCCAAUUCCCCAUGCUCUUGAUUGUUCCGUCUUUGUUGUUGGAGAUCCGAAAGAGCCUAGGAAAAAACUCGGACAACUUUCCCUCCCCACUCCACCAUUCAUUCCAGAAACUCAAGGAUUCACCCUCACCCAACACCACCUCAACAUUAUCACGCAACCACUUGCCCUCGUCCCCCCUACAAAUACUCACAACAUUCUUCCACCAACCAGCAUGUGUACUCUUACCAUCGGCGUUGCCCAGCCCACCGUUCUCCCACACAAAUUCCCCAUGGCAGGCUCUCACCACCUUAGCCCAAAGGAGAUUUUUAUCCACCAAGAAUCUCCAAAUCCACUUGGCCAUGAGGGCCGUGUUAAUAAUAAUACCACUAAUAAAAUAAUUAAUACUAUCUGUAGCUAAAGCUGAGAAAGGGAUCGGAUAGGGCCUUCUAACCUGACCCCAACUAAAGAAGGGGUCAAAUUGGGUCGGGUCGAGUUCCUACUUGUGACAAUCUUCGCAAGCCACAAUUGAUCAUCCAGGAUUCGGAGGAGCUUUGUGUUUUCUGCAAAGGGGCAGAUGAAACCAUUGACCACCUUUUCUUCGAAUGCCAGGAAACCGAAGAAAUUUGGAGCCAUAUUUUAUGAUGGGUGGGGAAACAAUCAGCUAGACAUCAUAAGGCGAAAGAUCAUCUGUUGGCUUUUGUUAAUCUUGGAAACAAGAAGGACGUUCCUUUCCUUCUCAGAGUUUGGAUCUGUACGAUUUGGUGCCUUUGGAAAGGGAGAAAUGAAUGUAAAUUCAAUAAAGGUACGUGGAGCAAAGAGAGAAUGACGGCUGAGAUCAAGAACAGGCUAUGGGGGUGGAGGACAGCUUUCAAAGUGUCUUCCUCUCCUUUGGAUUUCAGGCGGUGGAUUGUGGCGGUGAACUUGGAUGGAUAGUUUUUGUUUUUGAGGCUUUCUGUUUUUGGGUCUUGAGACCCGUUUUUCCUUCAUCCUUUUUUGUGUUUUGUACUCUGUUUUUGUUCUUGGUACUGCUGGUACCUCUAUCUAUAUUAUUCACUUUUUGCCUGAUCAAAAAAAAAAAAAAAAAAUUGGGGUCGGGUCGACCCAAUUUCANACUAUCAUCACCUAAAAUAUAAAUUAAAUGCAAUAAUCACCAUUUGGGUUGAUCUAGAACAAGUAUGGUUUCUUAAUUGGUUAUAUGUAAUUAUUUUAAAGUAUAGUAGAACCACCAUCCAAGUUGUGCGGCAGGAGGUUAAUAUACAAGACCUGAAAUUCUGAAUUCGAAUCAUCCGUCGCGCGAUCUCUAAAUUUUGUUUAUUUACUUAUGUAAUUUAUAAAAGAUAUAUGAAUUGAGAUUUCAUUAUUUUCAAUAGCUUAAUCUGAAUAUUUACGGGGCAGAGCUAGAAUUUUGAAAACAGACUAACGAAAUUAUUUGAAAAUAAAUUUAAAUUACCAAAAUCAAUCAUAUAUAUAUAUAUAUAUAUAGAGAGAGAGAGAGAGAGAGAAAAAAAAAAUAUUCUAAAUUUAGUAAUAAUAUAAUAAUAGUAAUAAAAAAAAUAUUUAGACGAUCGUUGGUUAAUAAGAUACGCUCAUUUAUGAUAGUUCAUUCAUGCCACUUGGAAAAGAUAAACAAUAGUAUAUAUAUAUACUUGUAAUAUAAUGAUGAUAACGAAAUUGAAAUUUAGGAAUAAAUAGGUGAUUAAGGAGUGGGGAAUGAGAUACUUUUCUCAAAUUUCUCCUAAAUGGGGGAUUCACGAUUUGAUUAGAAACCAACUGUCAAAUCUAAAAAGAAUUGAGCAUUUAUAAUUCGAACUCUUCUUGUGGAAAUUAUCAUUGUAUCGUCAUUAGUUACAUGUCAUGUCAAUUCUAAAAAAAAAUGGAUUAAUAAGUAUUACAUCAACUAAUAUGAACCAAUUAUUUAUCUGAGUGUUUGUGCAAAAUAAUAUUAUAUCUUCGGAAAUCUUUCAAUUCUCUACGUAUGUCUUUUAACAUAAUAGGUUGUUUUUCUUUUCAGAUUUAUCGAGUGAUGGAUAUACUUGACAUAUUUAUUUGAAUAAAU